rnacentral:rRNA from 1 species
GACGAGCGCUGGCGGCGUGCCUAAUACAUGCAAGUCGAGCGAGCGGAACCAACAGAUUUACUUCGGUAAUGACGUUGGGAAAGCGAGCGGCGGAUGGGUGAGUAACACGUGGGGAACCUGCCCCUAAGUCUGGGAUACCAUUUGGAAACAGGUGCUAAUACCGGAUAAUAAAGCAGAUCGCAUGAUCAGCUUUUGAAAGGCGGCGUAAGCUGUCGCUAAGGGAUGGCCCGCGGUGCAUUAGCUAGUUGGUGGGGUAACGGCUCACCAAGGCGACGAUCAGUAGCCGACCUGAGAGGGUGACCGGCCACAUUGGGACUGAGACACGGCCCAA